rnacentral:misc_RNA from 1 species
GAUGAAGAACGUAGCGAAAUGCGAUAAGUAAUGUGAAUUGCAGAAUUCAGUGAAUCAUCGAAUCUUUGAACGCACAUUGCGCCCCCUGGUAUUCCGGGGGGCAUGCCUGUCCGAGCGUCAUUACAACCCUCAAGCUCAGCUUGGUGUUGGGCCCCGCCGCCCCGGCGGGCCCUAAAGUCAGUGGCGGUGCCGUCCGGCUCCGAGCGUAGUAAUUCUUCUCGCUCUGGAGGUCCGGUCGUGUGCUCGCCAGCAACCCCCAAUUUUUUUCAGGUUGACCUCGGAUCAGGUAGGGAUACCCGCUGAACUUAAGCAUAUUAAUAAGCGGAGGA